rnacentral:lncRNA from 1 species
UUGGGGUCUCCAAGAAAAAUUAGGAUGGUUCCUCCAAUCUUAAUUAUAUGUGUUUAAGAAUGGGUCAUUGACAGGCUUGGAGUAAGCUUGAGAAGUUUGAACUUGUUCUUGGAUGAAGGGUGGAAAUGGUGCAGUCAUGAGACAUUCACUCACAUGAUGGACUGGACUAGCACAGAUAGAAUAAAUCUCCUGAUAAUUGGAAAGUGGUGUGUAUUGC